rnacentral:rRNA from 1 species
UACGAAGGGGGCUAGCGUUGCUCGGAAUCACUGGGCGUAAAGCGCACGUAGGCGGCUUGUUAAGUCGGGGGUGAAAUCCUGGAGCUCAACUCCAGAACUGCCCUCGAUACUGAUGAGCUCGAGUCCGGGAGAGGUGAGUGGAACUGCGAGUGUAGAGGUGAAAUUCGUAGAUAUUUCGCAAGAACACCAGUGGCGAAGGCGGCUCACUGGCCCGGUACUGACGCUGAGGUGCGAAAGCGUGGGGAGCAAACAGG